GCGGCGCUGACGGCGGUGGCCGGUCAGAGCUCUGAGCGGGGCCUGGGCAGCGGCGGGGCCGUAGGACCUCGCGCUGCGUUCGCGGGCUCCGGGGCGGGGGCGGCGGCGGCGAAGCCCCCUCCCCGGGGAGGCGGGGCCUGGGCGAGCUCCCCAGCCGGGGAGCGGCGGCGGCUGGGAAGGAUGCAUCAGAAGCUGCUGAAGAGCGCUCAUUACAUCGAGCUGGGCAGCUACCAGUACUGGCCAGUCCUGGUGCCCCGCGGCAUCCGUCUCUACACCUACGAACAGAUCCCCGUGUCCCUCAAGGACAACCCGUACAUCACCGACGGCUACCGGGCCUACCUGCCCUCCAGGCUGUGUAUCAAAAGUUUGUUUAUUUUAUCUAAUGAGACGGUAAAUAUCUGGAGUCAUUUGCUGGGUUUCUUUCUCUUCUUUACACUGGGAAUAUAUGACAUGACAUCAGUGUUACCUUCGGCAAGUGCAUCCAGAGAAGAUUUUGUAAUUUGUUCUAUUUGUCUUUUCUGCUUCCAGGUCUGUAUGCUUUGCUCUGUGGGCUAUCAUCUUUUUUCUUGCCAUCGAUCAGAAAAAACCUGUCGAAGAUGGAUGGCAUUAGAUUAUGCAGGAAUUUCUAUUGGAAUACUGGGCUGCUAUGUCUCUGGUGUAUUUUAUGCUUUUUAUUGUAAUAACUACUGGCGUCAAGUGUACUUGAUCACAGUGCUUGCCAUGAUCCUGGCAGUGUUCUUCGCACAGAUCCAUCCCAAUUACCUCACCCAGCAGUGGCAGAGGCUCCGUUCUAUCAUCUUCUGUUCUGUUUCGGGAUAUGGAGUGAUCCCAACUCUUCACUGGGUUUGGCUCAAUGGAGGAAUCGGUGCUCCUAUUGUACAGGACUUUGCACCCCGUGUAAUUGUGAUGUAUGUGAUUGCUCUUCUUGCUUUCCUAUUCUACAUUUCCAAAGUUCCAGAACGGUACUUUCCAGGACAACUAAACUACCUCGGAUCAAGCCACCAAAUAUGGCACAUCCUUGCAGUAGUGAUGUUAUAUUGGUGGCAUCAGUCAACAGUGUAUGUCAUGCAGUACAGACAUAGCAAGCCUUGCCCUGACUAUGUUUCACAUUUGUGAAUUCAGAAUCAGGAAUGAAGAAUUCAGGGACUGUCACAUCUUAUGGCAUCCCACCUGGACAAAGUAACCGAUUUGAAGAUUGUGACUGACUGGCAUAAAGGUGUGCAACUCCAUUUGGCAGGUACCUACCUGGAGAUAUCUUUGCCCUGUACUAAACAUGAAGGGGCAAAGUCUACACUUCUGGAUCCCUGCCAGUUGCUGAGCUGAGUAGGAGUUAAUGACAAGAGUCCGUCGGAAGUAUCUACUGUUUAGAAGGAAAUGGAGCAGCACCAAAGGGGUCUAAUUCAACUGACUGGGACUGUUGGGACUGAUGUGAAGCGAUGCUUUGCACCACAAGUUCUGUAAAGGGCACGGCACCAAAAUCAUCCAUUUUCAACGCGUCUGCACUAUGGAAUGAGCCAUGCAGAGAACUCGGUCGUGGCCGCCCAGGCAGGACGGGGUUGUGGUCAGCACGGAUGUCACUCAGGCCCUGAUGUGGAGGGUGCCAUGGCAGAUCUGGAGGAUGGAAGGGCUUGGCACCAAAGGGGUCCAACAGAUUCUCCUCGGGUUGCAGGCCGUUCCCUCUGUCUCUCCCGUCGGUCAGUGCAACACUAAUGUUCUCCUUGGAGUCCGAGAUGGUUAAAAAUUCAUUGCUGCUUUGAGAGUC